rnacentral:tRNA from 1 species
GCCUGGCUGGCUCAGUUGGUAGACCAUGUGACUCUUAAUCUCAGGGUUGUGAGUUUGAGCCCCACAUUGGGCA